GUUCAGCAUAGUGAGGGUUAAUGUAUCCAGUCAUGGGGUGAGGAGACAGGAACUCCCUCUUGUUCUACUGAUUACUCUUUUCAGACUGAAGAUACACAUCAGAGAUAUACCACUCCACAAAAGAAAUGAUGCUGUGAUGGAGAAGAGUAAAAAGGCCACUCAGUAAAGCUUUAAGUGCUUCACGUAAAAUCACAGUGCUCUGAAUAUCUGUGAUUAUACAGCCUAAAACAUGAGUGCUGAGCCUGCAGUGAGGACAAACUCCAUCUUAGACCAGCAUCUGAAGCUGACUGUGGCCACUGGAGGAACAGAGGACUCCUGCUAUCGUUGCACUUUACCAUUCAGCAUUGUGCUCCUGAUGAUUGGCAUUGCAGUUACAGCCGUAGCCUACAGCUUCAACUCCCAUGGUUCUGUCAUCUCCAUCCUGGGGCUGGUGCUGCUCUCCAGCAGUCUGCUGCUGCUGCUGCUGCUCAGCCUCGCUGCGCUGCGCUGGAAACUCAGACAGGGCAAAAAAAUGGACAGACACUCAGCAAGUCAGUGCACUCUAGUGGAGAGCCUGAGACUGACAUAUAUAUGACAAGUAUAUAUGACAGAUAUAUAUAUAGAUAGAUAGAUAGAUAGAUAGAUAGAUAUAGAUAGAUGUAUAGUUCCAUAGCACACAUCAAAAUCAGGCAAUGGGCCUGUGAUAUAUUCUGAGUGAGCAAGGCAAAGGUAGCAAAUUAGUAGGCCAGUGUUUUUGUUUGUUUUUUGUUUUGUUUUUUUUGCCCAGGAUUUCAUCCAGAACAGCUGUAAAAACUCAUAUGUACAAUGCACAGAUGUUUUAAUAAGAGUAGUCUUGUGACACAGCCUAUGUACUGUGCAAUUUCUCAUUACAAACUUUUAUAGCAAGACGUAUAUAUCAUGAAUAAACUAUAUUUUAUAACACUUUUAAA